rnacentral:sRNA from 1 species
AUCAGUCUGCGCUCGGGAGACGGCGCAUCGUGAACUCGAUUUCGCCGCCUUCGAGCUGGCGCCAGCUCUCGACUUCGGUCCAAU